rnacentral:misc_RNA from 1 species
CCGAGUUCAUGCCCGUACGGGUAGAUCUCCCACCCUAUGUUAUAUUACCUUUGUUGCUUUGGCAGGCCGUCAGGCCUCGGUCAGGCUACCGGCCCCAGCUGGUGAGCGCUUGUCAGAGGACCCUAAAACUCAUAUUGUUAGUGUUGUCUGAGUACUAUGUAAUCGUUA